rnacentral:rRNA from 1 species
GAUGAACGCUGGCGGCGUGCCUAAUACAUGCAAGUCGAGCGAACAGACGAGGAGCUUGCUUCUCUGACGUUAGCGGCGGACGGGUGAGUAACACGUGGAUAACCUACCUAUAAGACUGGGAUAACUUCGGGAAACCGGAGCUAAUACCGGAUAAUAUUUUGAACCGCAUGGUUCAAUAGUGAAAGACGGUUUUGCUGUCACUUAUAGAUGGAUCCGCGCCGCAUUAGCUAGUUGGUAAGGUAACGGCUUACCAAGGCAACGAUGCGUAGCCGACCUGAGAGGGGGACAGGCCCACCUGGACUGAGGAACCGGCCAAGAUCCUAAGGGGAGGCACAGGUAGGAAACUUUCGCAAUGGGGGGAAAGCUGAAGGGGGAAAGGCGCGUUGGGGAAUGAAGGUCUCCGGACGGAAAAACCUGGUAAUAAGGAAAAAAAAAAGGGGAAAGAAACAGGGAAGACCUGAAGGUACCUAAUCAGAAAGCCACGGCUAACUACGUG